GUCCGCCGCGGCGGAGAGACUAUCACGCACGGUGCUGUGAGAGGUUUGGGGUGAAAUUCCCCUUACCUACUCGAC
rnacentral:misc_RNA from 1 species